rnacentral:rRNA from 1 species
AUACGUAGGGGGCGAGCGUUGUCCGGAAUGAUUGGGCGUAAAGGGCGCGUAGGCGGCCCGGUAAGUCUGGAGUGAAAGUCCUGUUUUUAAGAUGGGAAUUGCUUUGGAUACUGUCGGGCUUGAGUGCAGGAGAGGUAAGUGGAAUUCCCAGUGUAGCGGUGAAAUGCGUAGAGAUUGGGAGGAACACCAGUGGCGAAGGCGACUUACUGGACUGUAACUGACGCUGAGGCGCGAAAGUGUGGGGAGCAAACAGGAUUAGAUACCCUGGUAGUCCACACUGUAAACGAUGAAUGCUAGGUGUAGGGGGUAUCGACCCCUUCUGUGCCGCAGUCAACACAAUAAGCAUUCCGCCUGGGGAGUACGGCCGCAAGGUUGAAACUCAAA